GGGGCGGGCUUGUUUACGGCCCGACUGCGCAGGCGUGCUCACCUGGCGCUCUCCGCGCGGCUGGGCGUCCGCAUGCCCCUCCCCCUGGCGCGGCCCCGGGGCCGCCCCGUGGCCGUACAGGUGGGGGAGGCACCGGCCGGGGGUCGGGCUAGCUGUGCCGCCUCCGCCUCCCCGCCACCCCCGGGGCCGAGCCGAUGAGAGCCCUUCAGGUCAGGCCCACCUGACUCAUCAGCCUCUCUGGGCUCAGCAUCCCAGGUUUGUUGACAACGGCCUCUGUCAUUGCUGCUCAAAGUGCCGAUCCGCAAGGAGGCGAGUUUGCACGGGAAUGGGAGUCUUCUGCAUCACAGCACACGCUGUCAAGGAGUCCUGCCUCACUAACAAAUAAGGUUCCAUCUCUUCAAUUUGUAAGGCACUCUGAGCGCUUCCUAAGAAAGCAAAUUCAUUAUUUUUUCGAGAUCCUCCCCACGCCCACCCAACACCGAACUCCUGGGAACGCUGGUGCGUCGUUCAAAGUUCCUUUGGUUGCCAAAAACAGGAACCUAGCUCCCAGUAGCGUAAACGCAAUGGGCUUGUGGCCUCUCAGCGCCGAGCUAUGGGAGACACAGGGGCUGGAGCGUGGCUUCCCUGCCUGCAUCUUGAAAGCUUCUCACUGUUUCUCAUCUCCGACUCUCCCUGGUGGCUUCAGUAUAACGUUGGAUAUGAGAAGGAGAAAUAAGUUCUUCCCACCAAUUCCAGUGAGAAAACACCUGGGGAAGGGCUGUGAUUGGUGCGACUGCAGUCUGAUCCUGUCCCAAACCAGUCACCACGGCCGGGCGCCCACCCUGCGGAACUAAGCUGGCCCACUCCGCCAGAGUCCCAGGCUCAGUGGGUCAGGAGCCCGGCCCCGUGAGCAAAGGAGAAGGAACGCGCGCUGAGCUGAGCAGACAGUGGCCGUCCACCACGCUGACCAGAGACCCGGUCCUCCCGGCCACCCCUGCUGAGACUCGGACAGCCUGUGCAGGGCAGGAGGGCCCCACUCCCCGAAGCUGUUGCAGAAGCGACACAGCGUCCUGCAGACCAGGACAGUUCAAGGCUGCUCAAGUGGGACUCUGUCCUCACAGCUCCCUGUGAGCAGCGAUUCCUCAGGCUGUGGCAAAGGCACAGUCCACCCAGGCCAUGCUCACACCCCACUCAGUCUCCUUGGGGCUCCAACAAACUGCUCUGUGGCCCUGGGCGCUUCAUCCUUUUCCGGGGCGUGUCCAAGAGCCAGCCACGGCCCAGGAUUCCUGCCUCGCCUCCUCUCCCCAGGGCAGAGGCCCCCCCUUCCUCCUGGUCCCAAGCUCAGCUCCAUUUCCUAAUCCAGGGGGCUUUUCAUUCCUUUUGGGAAAACCCCACUUUGUUAUAUUGGCUUGUUCAUAGGACAGUUUCCUUCAUAAUGAAGCAUCAGCCCCUCCUAAGGGGCUCUUUGUAAUGGUGCUGCUUCUGAGACCAAGCCAAGGGUGGCCCAUUAACAACUCAAAAUCCAAUGGCUCAGUCGGUGAAGCAUCUGCCUUUGGCUCAGGUGAUGAUUCCAGGGUCCUGGAAUUGAGCCCCUGCU